rnacentral:rRNA from 1 species
UACGGAGGGUGCAAGCGUUAUCCGGAUUCACUGGGUUUAAAGGGCGCGUAGGUGGCUCUGUAUGUCUACCGUGAAAGCAUACAGCUCAACUGUAUUUUGUCGGUAGAAACUGCAGGACUUGAGGCUGGGAGGGGCUGGUGGAAUUCCCUGUGUAGCGGUGAAAUGCGUAGAGAUGGGGGAGAACACUCGUGGCGAAGGCGGCCAGCUAGACCAGUUCUGACACUGAGGCGCGACAGCGUGGGGAGCAAACAGG